rnacentral:snRNA from 1 species
GUGCUCUCUUCGGCAGCACAUACGCUAAAACUGGAAGGAUACAGAGAAGAUUAGCAUGGCCCCUGCACAAGGACGACGCACAAAUAUGUGAAGUGUUCCAUAUAAUC